UUAUAGCAUUAAAAGGAUACUUAAGCAUUAGAUCUAAAUGAGCGUUUAACUUCGAAAUAUUACAAUGAGUUUUUUAUUAACUGAGACUUGUAAUUUCUCAUAGAUCGAAAAAUCGAGUUUUAUUGAUUUAAGCAAUUUUUCUUUUAAGAGAAAAUUAAAAACUUAAUGAACUGAAUCAUCUAAGUAAUUAGGUUAUUGAAAUCAAUCGAGAUAUCGUGAUUAGUGGCGAACGAAAGCGAUAAAAGACUGAAAAAUUUUUAUUUAAGGUGUCGUUUAAAAGUAUCCCAAAGAAGGUUAAUCGUAAUAGAUCAGUCCUGUGAAGCGGCAUAUAAAUUUUUUGUAAGUAAAUUGAUACAAGUCAUGUGUUGAUUAAAAACCGGGGGACCAUCCUCGAAGUCUUAGAGAUUUAAUGACUAAUAGUGGAAAGUACCGUGAGGGAAAAGUGAAAGAAUUUUCGCGAAAAUGAAAAAUUUUUAAAAUUUAAUGCCAACAAAUUGUCGUAGUUCAAUUACACAGAAUAACGGCGUACCUUUUGCAUAAUGGAUCAACAAGUGUAUUUUAAUGGCGAGCUAAAGUUUAAUUAUUUAGGCGUAAAAAAAAUAAGUUGUAAUACUGCAAUUAAGUCUUUAAAAUAUGACCCGAAACUAAGUGAUCUAAUCAUGAGCUGGUUGAAGUCGAAGCGGAAACGCUUCAUUGAGGACCGAACCCGUGUAUGUGGAAAAAUGCUGGGAUGACUUGUGAUUAGGGGUGAAAGGCCAAUCAAACUUAGAGAUAGCUGGUUUUCUGCGAAAUCUAUUUUAGUAGAACGUUUAGAAUUUACUUUGGAAGAGGUAGAGCUCUUAUUAAAUGAUAGGGACUUAACGUCUUAUUGAAUUUAGUAAAACUUCGAAUACUUAUUAAAAGGAAGCUAAACAGACAGGCUUUGAGUGCUAAGAUUCACAGCCAAGAGGGAAACAGCCCUGAUUAUUGGUUAAGGCCCCAAAAAAUGACUAAGUUAAAAAGGGUUAAAAAAUACAAACAACCGAGAGGUAGUCUUAGAAGCAGACACCCUUUAAAGAAAGCGUAACAGCUCAUUGGUCUAGUUUUUUUGCCCAGAAAAUGUAUAGGGAAUAAAGUUAUUUGCCGAAACUAUAAAUUUUACUUAUUUUUAAAUAAAAUGGUAGCAGAACGUUCUGUAAAUCAAAGAAAAUUCAUAGUUAUAUGGGUUGGAGAUAUCAGAAGUGAUAAUGUUGAUAUGAGUAACGAUAAACGGUGUUAAACAUCGUCACCUUAAGUUCAAGGUUUCCAAAACAAGAUUAAAUCGUUUUGGUUAAGUAAUUCGGUCUCUAAGAUAAAGAUGAUAAUCUUAUUUUGAUGAGUAAUAAAGUACAAAUCUUCUAAUUUUUAAAAGUGACAAAAUAUUAAGACUAUCUGAAUUUUAUAGUUUAAAUUUAGGUUUUUUAGUGUUUUCAAGAAAUAGCUUUAAAGAUAAAACCGUACCCUAAACCAACACAGGUGAACUAGUUUAGUAAAUUAAGGUGCUUGAGAAAACUGCGUUGAAGGAACUCGGCAAAUUGACUCUGUAACUUCGGAAUAAGGAGUGACACUUUUUGGUAACCCUGAAAGUGUUGUCACAUAAUCGAGGACAGCGACUGUUUAUUAAAAACACAAGUUUCUGCUAAUUUGUAAGAAGAUGUAUUGAAACUGACGCCUGCCCAGUGCUGUAAGAUUAAAAGAAGAGGUCUUUUGGCUUUAACUCGAACUCCCAGUAAACGGCGGCUGUAACUCUGACGGUCCUAAGGUAGCGAAAUUCCUUGGCAUUUAAUUGGUGUCCUGCAUGAAUGGCGUAACGACUGUCCUACUGUCUCCAACGCAGACUCAGUGAAAUUAAAGUUCCUGUGAAGAUGCAGGAUUCUUGUGGCUAGACGGAAAGACCCUGGCACCUUUACGAUAAUUAUGCAUUGUAAUAAAAUUUUUUUUGUAUAGAAUAAGUGGAAAGUUGCAUUUUGAUGUGUUACGCUAGUAAACUAUUUAAACAUCCUUGAAAUACCACUCUGAAGAUUUUUUGUUACUUAUUUAGAAGACAUUGUAUGGUGGGUCGUUUGACUGGGGCGGUCGCCUCCUAAAAAGUAACGGAGGCGUACAAAAGGUAACCUUAAGUUGAUGUGUAACUUCUUUAAAGCAUAAUAGUAUAUUGGUUGCUUGACUGUAAGAUUGACAAAUCAAGCAGGGACGUAAGUCGGUUAUAGUGAUCCGGUGAUUCUGAAUGGAAAAGGUCACCGCUCAACGGAUAAAAGGUACGCCAGGGAUAACAGGCUAAUCACCCUCUAGAGACCCUAUCGACGGGGUGGUUUGGCACCUCGAUGUUGGAUUAUCGCAUCCUGGAGCUGUAAAUGGUUCCAAGGGUUUGGCUGUUCGCCAAUGAAGGCGGUACAUGAUCUGAGUUUAGAACGUCGUGAGACAGUUUGGUCCCUAUCUACCAUAAGAGUAUAAAAUUGUAAGAAGUAGACCUUAGUACGAGAGGACUGGGAAAAGUAAGCCUCUGGUGAAUCGAUUGCAAGACUUAUUGCAUUGUCGAGUAGCUACGUUUAUAAUAAAUAAUCACUGAAAGCAUCUAAGUGAGAAGUUAUUCUUGAUAUUCGUUUUUUUUAAUGUGGAAGAUUACUACAUAGAUAGGCUUAGUGUGUAAGAAUUGUAAGGUUUUCAGCUAAUAAGUA
rnacentral:rRNA from 13 species